rnacentral:lncRNA from 1 species
GGGCAUCUGCCCACACAGAUUGCUUGCUAGAGGCUGUAGGCAGGAGGCCUCAGUGUCUCACCAUACAGAGAUCUCCACACAGCUGCUUGCUCAUCCUCUUGACAUGGCAGCUGACUUCCCCCAGAGCAAGUGACCCCUGAAAGCAAGACAAAGCUGGAAGCAUCUUUUAUCACCUAGCCUCAGAAGCUACUCUCUGUUACUUGUGCAACGUUCCAUUCUGCUGAGGAUACAAAUCAGCCCAACUCAGUGUGGAAGAGGACAUAUAUCAGCGGUCUACCACAAUGGCUUACUCAUUCAUUCUAUGAAGGGCUUUGGGGUUUUGAGUGUCUAAUUAAGUAUUAGAGCCUGGUGGUACCACAGUGGAGUCAUACCCAUAAGAAGAUGAGGUCCCUCUGCUCCUGGAGAUCAACUUCCAGAAGAGGAGUAGAGAGACCCUAUAAAGAAGUCUCUACCUGUUAGACUAUAAACUCUACUGGGACAGGGAUUUUAUCCCAAGGGCCUAGAACAGUGCUGGACACACAGCAGAUGUUCAAUAACUUUUUUUUUUGAUUGAGUCAAUUUGCUCUCUAAUUUUUCCACUGGCAGAAAGGAGAAAAAGCAAAAGGUACAGUGUUGAACAUACUGUUUUCUUGUAAGAGCAUAAACUGGAAGUUGAAAUAUCAUAUCCACUCACAUCCCAGUAGCUAGAAUUCCUCACAUGGUCAUAUCUGCCUGCAAAGGUUGCUGGGAAAGGGAAUAUUUGUUCUGGAUACUAUGAGACCAGCUGGAUUCUGCAAAUCCGCUACUAAAGACAAAAGGGGAGAACGAUCUUUGGAAGAAAAACCAUUGCUGUCUGUUCAAAAUGAUGAUUGAAUAAAGACAUUGUAUUUCUAACAAGCUCUUGGGUGAUCCCAACACAGUAGGGACAGGGGCCCUGAAAAAACAAAGCAAUCACACCUGUUUAAGUCAAAAUUCAAAGUUAAAAUAUUCAAAUUCAUUUCAUAGGUAAAAAAGCUGAGAACUCGAAAGGUCAAGUGACUUGUACCAAGUGACAGG